GCCCAAGCCCAAGAAGCCCAAGUCCAUCCCAUGAGGGGCAAGGCCAAACAUUAAAUAAAAGAGCAUCAUUUGAAUUACUCUUGUAUAGUUGUAGGAGGUGUGGAUAUUAAAUAAAGGAGUGUGAAUAUGUAAAAUAAAGUCACAUUGUCCAUGUGACUUAGGAGAGUAGGUGUAGGUGUAGUUUUUAGGAGGUGUCAUAGUAGAAAAAUGUCACACCUCCCAUGUGACUUGUUUUUGGUGGGAAUUUCAAAUGAGUUUCAUUUGAAUUUUCCCACCUAUUUUUCAGCACCCUCACACUAUCAAUAGAGGUGUGGGCUCUUGUAAAAUUCAGAAU
rnacentral:lncRNA from 1 species